UACGUAGGUGGCAAGCGUUGUCCGGAUUUACUGGGCGUAAAGAGCGCGCAGGCGGUCGUUCAAGUCGCGUGUGAAAGCCCCCGGCUCAACUGGGGAGGGUCACGCGAUACUGAUCGACUCGAAGGCAGGAGAGGGUAGUGGAAUUCCCGGUGUAGUGGUGAAAUGCGUAGAUAUCGGGAGGACCACCAGUGGCGAAGGCGACUACCUGGCCUGUUCUUGACGCUGAGGCGCGAAAGCUAGGGGAGCAAACGGG
rnacentral:rRNA from 1 species